GUUGCAUGAAAAUGGCCGAUGUAAUUGGGAUAACGCAUUUUGAUAUAAUUAAUAUUUUUAUUGAUGUAAUUAACUAAUAUAAAUAAAUCAUUCAUUAAAUGAACACACCAGACAAGCAUUCAAUCGACAUUCAUACAUAGGUUAACGGAUGUUUUGUUUAAAUCUUCAUCCCAAUUCCUCUAGUUCCAAAUAAGCGGCAGCACCCUCGCUUGAGUUCGCGAAUGCCUUUAUCUUUUAUCUUUAUGUCAGUAAAAAUGUUUAUCUGAUUGUUAGCAAUAAUAAAAAAUCCUGAUUUAGAUAAAAUGGAUUCAAAUACAGUUUUUGAAACAAAAGGAAUGUGAUUUGAAGAUCCCUAGGAAGAUCAAAUUCCUAGCUUACAUUUGCAUGGUGAGUUCAACAAGUAUUUGCUAUUAGAGAACAAGUAACACAGUUAGUGGUGUAGGGAAGCAAACGAAUGUAACACCAAUUGAAAGUCCUUCAACAAGUAGAGAUGCACACAUGUUUCAAUUAUUUGAGAUACCCUUUUGUAGAAGUAUUUGGAAGAUAUAUGACGCCGAAAGGCGCUUUUACCAUGGGGUCGGUUACCACCCCAUCUUAGGGGUGGAAAUUUUUUAUUAUGUUUUGACUGCAAAAGUUGAUAAAAACAUUUAUUCUAAGCAAAAAAUAUUCUAUACUUUUUUUUGAUAAAAUUAAUACUUUUCGAUUUAUUCGCUAUCGAAAGUGUUAGUUUUAUAUAGAAAAAAUUAAUGUUUUUCGAUAUAUACUCAUUUACCAUUCACUCAAUUUUUGCCGUAGAAAAAAUUUUUUCCAACCAAGUUCUUGGGAAUUAAAUAACCUACAAUUUCAUAUAAAAACAUUUUUUCGUAUAUCUGAUGCUAAUCUUUCUAUUUUGAAGAAAAUGACCUUUUUUACCAAACUACAAAAAGUCGUUAUUCGCUUUUAACUCUAGUUUUUUAAAAACUAAUCAUUCUAAGCCAGUCAAACUUUUAAAAUCUAUUAAUAAUACAUAAAUAAAGAAUAAUUAAUAAGGCCAAUGACUAAAAGCAAAGCUAACUUACAUUAUUAUGCUUCCAAUUGGAUUUCUUUUUUUUUUUUUGAAAAAAAUAUAUUGAUUUUUUAACCCUAACCUUUUUAAUUUUUAUCUUAGAAAGUUUGUUAAAAAAUAGUUUUGUAGGUUUUUACAAGAUCUAUAAAACUAUUAAUACCAAAUGCUUUUAAAAUCCUCAGUCGCAAAAAGUGGUGACUUUGAAAGGGUUGGUAAAGGUGCACUCAAAAAAAUUUAGUUCGUAAUAUUGAUUAACAGUGAUUAUUGAAUAGUAUUUCGUUGUCACAACAAUUUAAUUUGUUGUUUCAACGAACUUUUAGACAUUGGCGAAUGUACUUGGUUAUUGUCACAAUGAUUGAAUAAUAAUUGUGAGAAUAACUAGAGUACAUUAAUCAAUAACACUCAAUUUAUUCAGCCAAUAACUUAGUUUCGUAUAUUUAAUAAAUACUGUUAAUUGUGGCAGCAACUCACGUUCUUGAUUUCGUAGAUGACAAGCAAUUACCUUGGUUUAUUGUGACAACGUACAGAUUUCAUUAAAACAAUGUACAAAUGUUGUUAAUAUAGAGUAAUAUAUGAUUAUUGAAUAGAUGUACACUGAUUGUUGUGCCAACGAAUGCAUUAAUAAAUCUACUACUGCCUUUAAUUCUCACAAUCAAUGCGUUAAUUGUGACAAUAAUCGUGGUUGUUGGGACAAUAAAUGUUUUGCUUGACCAUUUGAAAUGUAACGGCUUUUCGUUAUCGUGAUACCCCUAGCUUCUCUGUGUUACCAUUGUUUAAAAAAGAGUUCUUUGUUAAACAAUGCUGUUACCUCUACCGAAGUGCCAAAUAAUAAUUGCAUUUUGUUUCCAAGUGUAGUCCGUAGUAGAAGGAAGAUUUCGUGUGUCUCUUAUCGUGAAAUAAGCUAGAACAUCAUGUAUCAAAAUAAUGACGGAGAAACAGAUGCCACUUACCAAAUCGGUCAGAAUUUGGCGAAUUUUCUUGGCAAUGAAUAUAUUAUGCCUCCAGAGAUGAAAAAUAAUAUAGCGCAACAAAACGAAACUGUACAACAACUCGAGUCAAUGCUGACAGAUUUAUCCAAAUGCCAUACAAAUGAUUCAAACCAAAAUCUACAUGACUACGAGAUUGAACAUCAAAGUGAAUCUGAAGUAAGCGACAUUGCUGGCACCAAUAGUAACAAGAAUUCCCAAGAUGAAAAUCUCGAAUCAAUUGAACUCAGAAAUUUAUUAAAAUUAUGGAAUAUGGAAAGUCUGACAGAUCAUUUAAUAGGUGAGAAUGUUUUUAUACCGGUGUUAAAAGUGAUUAAACGACAUCAUAUAGAGUUGCUAAUGAAAAAUUUCGAUUUGGGUACCUACAUUCUGUUUGAACAUCAACUGGAAAAUUGGAGAGAGAGUAUUGGGACUACCUUUAGUGAACCAAUGCAGGGAAAAAGCAUAUCCAUUUAGCAAUCCAAGCACUUCACCAUCUACUUCGCGAAUGACUUCCAGAGAAAGUACACCUACACGCUUUACGCCAUACGACAGACCAUCUACAUCUACCCCAGAAGAAUACGUCUCUUUGGCUGAUAUUUUGAAAACUCAAUAAAGGCUCUAUGCUUACAGAGUACUAUACAAAGUUUGAUAAGUUUAAAGAGGAGCAGCGCCUUCUUCUUGUCGGCUUAAUUGCAGGUUACUAUGAGGAAAAGUCGCUACAAUUAUCCUUAAGUGCAAGUCAACGUUUGGAACAGGAAAUUUUGGAGCGGUUCCCUACAGAAAAAUUGAACCUGAAGACAAUGCAGAAAGUAUCAUUCGGUGUUUAAAAUACGACAAUUUGAGUAUUGAAGAAUCCGACCAAUGUUGGAAGGCAUGCUCUAGAUACCGCUUGAUUGAAGUAAAGAAGCUUGCUUCAACAAAAUCCAUAAUGGAAGCAUGGCCAUUUUAUAAAAGUCCUUCAGGAUAUCGUUUGAUUGACAUGGACUUUAAAAUUGCUUUUAAUGAUAAUGAUGGCCUUAUUUUAAAUUGGGAUAAUCGUUUUGACACUCUUGUUAACUUUUUAUCGAGCGAUGGGCACAUAAAAGAUAAGAAAAUUAAAGGAAUAGUAGAAAAUGUGAGGAACACUCCUGAUUUAGCAGAAAAUGGAAAAAAUGCGGCAAUUUUUUGGGCUCUGCAUGGUUACUUUGUUCCUACAAAAUUGGUUGUGACAAAGAAGGAUGAGAGAAAGACAAAUACAAAAUACACAAUUAAAGACUCUCAAGAAUCCUUUUUAUUUAUUGGAAAAACCCAACAAGAAGUAGAAGACCACCUACUUCACCUGAAGGAUAGGAAUAUAUCUAUUCAGCCGUUUUUAUGUUGCGUCGGUGAAGAUAUAUUAAACAUUACAAACAUAUGUAUCUAUUUUGAUGAAAUACGAUACAAUUUCAAAAAUUUUGUUCGAGCCGUUGAUAUAUGUUUUAAAAUAAUUUAUUUAUUUGAUUUGGAAUUUCCACCAGCGUCUCUUACAUUUUAUAGCUUCAUCGAGAGUUAUUUUUAUAAUUUCAAGUCAAAAAAUAUGACUUCGAAAAUCCAUAUUUUAACAGACUUUUUAAAUAAUAUAUAGAUCAAAAAGAAAUGUCUUAUAGUUCCUAGUCUAGCAUAAAAUAUUAUGUUUGAAUUAUGUAGUUGUGGAAAAAUAUUGUCAUUUAUUUUUUUAAAUGUUGCAUGUUUUGUCAACUUCAUUAAGUUAAGAAACUGAAUUUUAUUAGACAUAACUUUUAACUACAACAAUUAGCCUGCUAGGAACUUGCCGUUAUUGGUCUCUAGUAGUUGUGAACCAAGAGCCUAUAAUUUCUUUAUUUUUAAAAUAUUGCAUGUUUUUCUAAAUUUAUAUCUAUCUAGUAACUAGUAACUUAUCUACUCCUACCCUACUAGUUUAUUGUGCUUAACAUCAACUUGUGUUGAAUACUAGGGCCCAAUUUUAUUAAAUUAUUUUAAAAUGCACAGGAUGCCCUAAAAUGGGUAACUCAAAUGUAGGUAGGUACGUUUUAUUUUACGGAACUCCAUAUAGCCCAAAUGGAUUGUAGUAAAAAAUAAUUUUUUUAAUCUACCUACCACACUUAUGUUUUUUAAAAUUAUUAUUAUGGGUACUUAUACUAAAUUCACAAUCAAGAUGCAGUAGAAAUAAACAAACUAAGACAUGUUAAAUACUACUAGGAGCACUACCGAAUCAUAAAUUACAAUGCAUAAACUUUGGAAAUCAUGAUUUGUGAUUUACAGUGUAUAUACAUUGUAAAUUAUGAUUCGGGAGUGCUCCUAGUAGCAUUUAACGUGUCUUGGUUUGUUUAUUUUUACUGCAUCUUGAUUGUAAAUUUAGUAUAGUACAGAUUCUCCAAAAAUUAUGUUUUUAUAUUUUUAUUCACUAUUGUGUCGCAAUGGGUAUAUAUUAACCACUUGAGUAUCAUUAGGCCUUAACUAAAAACGUGCAAUAUUAAUGAAAAAAAAAUACAACUAAUUAUUGGCUAAGCAGACUAACUGUUGUACAGUUGAGUCCGGGAAUCUUUACCCGUGCGUCAUCAUUUAAAGCAUACGAAAUAAGUCGAUGAUAAGUCGGAAAUUGAAAUUUACUAAACGCAACCGCAAGUCAUUUACUGUCACUUGCUGUUGCGUUUAGUAAAUUUCAAUUUCCGACUUAUCAUCGACUUAUUUCGUAUGCUUUAAAUGAUGACGAACGGGUAAAAAUUCGCGAACUCAACUGUAAACAAUGAUUUUUAUUAUUAAUCGUGUUAGAUGUUUUACUAAUUUAAAGUUAGCCAAGCAUGCAUUAUUUUUUUGAAAAAGAAACGACAUUUUUUGAAUGGCAAAUUAUCAUGUAUAAUUUCAAUUUAUAAAAUAUCAAAAAUAAAAUAUUAUAGGUAC
rnacentral:misc_RNA from 1 species